GAUGAACGCUGGCGGCGUGCCUAAUACAUGCAAGUCGAGCGAACAGACGAGGAGCUUGCUCCUCUGACGUUAGCGGCGGACGGGUGAGUAACACGUGGAUAACCUACCUAUAAGACUGGGAUAACUUCGGGAAACCGGAGCUAAUACCGGAUAAUAUAUUGAACCGCAUGGUUCAAUAGUGAAAGACGGUUUUGCUGUCACUUAUAGAUGGAUCCGCGCCGCAUUAGCUAGUUGGUAAGGUAACGGCUUACCAAGGCGACGAUGCGUAGCCGACCUGAGAGGGUGAUCGGCCACACUGGAACUGAGACACGGUCCAGACUCCUACGGGAGGCAGCAGUAGGGAAUCUUCCGCAAUGGGCGAAAGCUUGACGGAGCAACGCCGCGUGAAUGAUGAAGGUCUUCGGAUCGUAAAACUCUGUUAUUAGGGAAGAACAAAUGUGUAAGUAACUAUGCACGUCUUGACGGUACCUAAUCAGAAAGCCACGGCUAACUACGUG
rnacentral:rRNA from 1 species